rnacentral:rRNA from 1 species
UACGUAGGGUGCAAGCGUUGUCCGGAUUUAUUGGGCGUAAAGAGCGUGUAGGCGGCCAGACAGGUCAGCUGUGAAAACUCGAGGCUCAACCUCGAGACGUCGGUUGAAACCGUCUGGCUAGAGUCCGGAAGAGGAGAGUGGAAUUCCCGGUGUAGCGGUGAAAUGCGCAGAUAUCGGGAAGAACACCCGUGGCGAAGGCGGCUCUCUGGGACGGUACUGACGCUGAGACGCGAAAGCGUGGGGAGCGAACAGG